rnacentral:rRNA from 2 species
UGAAGCGGCAAAAGCUCAAAUUUGAAAUCCCCCGGGAAUUGUAAUUUGAAGAGAUUUGGGUCCGGCCGGCGGGGGUUAAGUCCACUGGAAAGUGGCGCCACAGAGGGUGACAGCCCCGUGAACCCCUUCAACGCCUUCAUCCCAGAUCUCCAAGAGUCGAGUUGUUUGGGAAUGCAGCUCUAAGUGGGUGGUAAAUUCCAUCUAAAGCUAAAUACCGGCGAGAGACCGAUAGCGAACAAGUACAGUGAUGGAAAGAUGAAAAGCACUUUGAAAAGAGAGUGAAAAAGUACGUGAAAUUGUUGAAAGGGAAGGGCUUGCAAGCAGACACUUAACUGGGCCAGCAUCGGGGCGGCGGGAAACAAAACCACCGGGGAAUGUACCUUUCGAGGAUUAUAACCCCGGUCUUUAUUUCCAUACCGCCCCGAGGCCUGCAAUCUAAGGAUGCUGGCGUAAUGGUUGCAAGUCGCCCGUUU